rnacentral:rRNA from 1 species
UACGGAGGGUGCAAGCGUUAAUCGGAACUACUGGGCGUAAAGCGCACGUAGGUGGUUUGCUAAGCCAGCUGUGAAAUCCCCGGGCUCAACCUGGGCACUGCAGUUGGAACUGGCAAGCUAGAGUAGGGUAGAGGGGUGUGGAAUUCCAGGUGUAGCGGUGAAAUGCGUAGAUAUCUGGAGGAACAUCAGUGGCGAAGGCGACACCCUGGACUCAUACUGACACUGAGGUGCGAAAGCGUGGGGAGCAAACAGG